rnacentral:rRNA from 1 species
UACAGAGGGUGCGAGCGUUAAUCGGAAUUAUUGGGCGUAAAGAGCUCGUAGGCGGUUUGUCGCGUCUGUCGUGAAAGCUUGGGGCUUAACCCCAAGUCUGCGGUGGAUACGGGCAGACUAGAGGCAGGUAGGGGAGAACGGAAUUCCCGGUGUAGCGGUGAAAUGCGCAGAUAUCGGGAGGAACACCGGUGGCGAAGGCGGUUCUCUGGGCCUGUACUGACGCUGAGGAGCGAAAGCGUGGGGAGCGAACAGG